rnacentral:tRNA from 1 species
GCCAUCGUGGUGUAGUGGUCUGCACGCUCGACAAGUAACCGAGAGGUCGUGGUUCGAUUCCCGGUGAAGGCG